rnacentral:tRNA from 1 species
CCCCUGGUGGCGCAAUGUUUAAGCACACUCAGCUGCUAACUGAAAGGUUGGUGGUUUAAACCCACCCCAUGGUU